CCCUUAGAUGUUCUGGGCCGCACGCGCGCUACACUGAUACGUUCAACGAGUCCAAAACCUUGAUUGAUAGGUCUGGGUAAUCUUUUGAAGACGUAUCGUGCUAGGGAUAGAUUAUUGCAAUUAUUAAUCUUGAACGAGGAAUUCCUAGUAAACGCAAGUCAUCAGCUUGCAUUGAUUACGUCCCUGCCCUUUGUACACACCGCCCGUCGCACCUACCGAUUGAAUGACUCGGUGAAAAAUUGGGGCUGUGAUUGAAAUUGCUUCAUUGCGAAUUUAAUUAUGGAAACUUUCUUUAACCUAGGCAUUUAGAGGAAGGUGAAGUCGUAACA
rnacentral:rRNA from 1 species